rnacentral:tRNA from 1 species
GCAGAAAUGCCAGAGGGAUAUGGGUUAGAUUUAGGAUUUAAUAACAGUAUAUUUACUUUUCUGUU